CAGCUUCCCUGCCCUGCCUGUUUUCUCCUUUGUGAUUUUAUGAGAACAAAGGAGGAAAUAGGCAGGCCAGGGAAACGCUC
rfam:Pan troglodytes isolate Yerkes chimp pedigree #C0471 (Clint) chromosome 14, whole genome shotgun sequence.